AUCUACCUGACGAGUCCCAAAUAGGACGAAACGUGCGUCCUGGAU
rnacentral:hammerhead_ribozyme from 1 species